rnacentral:lncRNA from 1 species
GUUUGUAAAUGUCAAGAAUAAUCUCAAAUUUAAAUACAAUAUGUUUGUAAAUGUCAAGAAUAAAAUCCUUGAAAUGUUGAACAAACCUUCUAUUUGUUUGUGAGGUGAAGGUAGAAGUGGAGAUUCAUAGACAUAUUUUGAUUGGAACUUUGAAUUCAUCAUUUGAACUAUUUCACUGAGAAUUUUCAUCAACUUCAACCUAUAAAAUAUAUACACAAUUCACGAGCAUUGAAAAAGAGAAACUACUUUGCCAUGUUUGAAAAGGAGGGCACGUCUCUUGCAAGUAAAAAGAUUUAACAUCCCUAAUGAAUGAAAAUAAAACCCUGGAUCUUCAUCUACACAGAAAACACAAUGUUACAAAAUGGUAUGCACAAGUAUCAAAAACGUGGUUGCUUAAGUUUUUGUUAUGAUAGAGCAUGAACCUGCAGCACAAUAAAACACAUCCUGAAACUGAGUUUUAUGAUUGUAUUUAUACGGUAAAAUAAAACACAACGGAUUGAGAACUUAAAUACAACUUUAUUCAGUAAUGGUCAGUGAGUUGGUAUCUAAUGAGCACACAUCUGACACAUUAAAGAACCCAAAGAAAAAAUUAAAGACUUGGGCAUUUCCACGCACCUGGGGUGGGGUUGAGGGUUUCUAUGCAAAAAGGCUCUCUCUAGGAUUUGGGUUUCUUCUUUGAUUAUUAUUUUUUUUAUUAUUGGUGUCAGCAGUGUGAACACAGACUUUGAGGUAACUCAGAAAACCUGCAUUAUUGGUCUGGAUGAAUUAUGAAAAACAAAAAAAACAAAAAAAACAAAAAAAAUCUACCCCAUCAAAUACCAGGUUUUAGGGCAAAGAACAAUGUCUGUCAUAAGAUUCAUUAUGUUUGUGAGUCCAGCGGUGGCCCGUUAUCCUUUCAACCUUGUGCCAUGGUUCGAGUGAUGCUUCAUUUGAUCAUUUUACUCACAUUGCACUCAUAACAUCCAUUUCAUGUGACACUCUGAUAUAUAUAUUUUUUCACCGAGGAAGAUUCAAAAAGGAAUUUUUUUACAUCUUGUGUAGGAUAGAACUUUUCAUGGGUCACUGUAAAUUUGCCCCUUUUGCAGCAUUCCUUCUCUGUGAUUUUAAGGUGGAAUAUUAUGUAGGGUCAAUGGAAAAGCGCAUUAUGAAACACAGUGGUGGAGUUUCAAGGCAUGGAGUUUCAAUUGGUGAAAGAAAGGUGUGACUGAACUGCUCAUAUAGAGCACAAAACAUUAACAGAUCUGAGCAUGAUUCUAAGAUUCUUAACAACUUUAACAAACCAUGACAGAGUGCGGAGAAGACGAAAAAGCUCUGUGGAGAAUAUAUCUCAGUCGUUGUUUUGCCUUAC